ACCAAGGUAUCCACCGAUUUGCUCUUAAUAUCUUGAUCAGGAGGCGAUGAAAGACGUGGUAAGCUGCGAUAAGCUUCGGGGAGUUGCUAAACAAACUGUGAUCCGGAGAUUUCUGAAUGGGGGAACCCGUCUUGAGUAAUGUUGAGACAUUUAUAACUGAAUACAUAGGUUAUAAAGGCAAACGAGGGGAACUGAAACAUCUUAGUACCCUCAGGAAAAGAAAACAAUAGUGAUUUUCAAAGUAGCGGCGAGCGAAAUGAAAAUAGCCCAAACCCAAUAUGUGUAAGCCCGAAAGCGUUGUAUAUUGGGGGUCGUGGGGUUUGAUGUUGCAUAGUUUCGGAUAUGCAAAAAGAGUUACAAAGUUGAUUUAUAACCGAAAAGUCUGGAAAGACUUACCAUAGAAUGUGAUAGUCAUUUAGGUGAAAUGAAUCAGCCUCUUUAUCAAAUUCCCAAGUAUUGCGGGACACGAGAAAUCCUGUGAGAAUUUGUGAGGACCAUCUCAUAAGGCUAAAUACUACCUGAUAACCGAUAGUGAACUAGUACCGUGAGGGAAAGGUGAAAAGAACCCCUGUUAGGGGAGUGAAAUAGUACUUGAAACCGUUUGCUUACAAGCAGUGGGAGCUGGACAAUUUUUUGAGAGUCUAGUGACUGCAUGCCUUUUGCAUAAUGAGUCAGCGAGUUACUUUGUGUAGCGAGGUUAAGCCAUAGGGUGUAGCCGGAGCGAAAGCGAGUCUUAAUAGGGCGUAUUAGUUGCACGAAGUAGACCCGAAACCAAGUGAGCUAUUCAUGGCCAGGGUGAAGCGUAAGUAAAAUUGCGUGGAGGCCCGAACCGUUGUAGGUUGAAAACUGCUCGGAUGAGCUGUGAAUAGGGGUGAAAGGCCAAACAAACUUGGAAAUAGCUGGUUCUCCUCGAAAUAUAUUUAGGUAUAGCCUUGCAAAAUUAGUAACGGGGGUAGAGCACUGAAUGGGCUAGGGGUCCUACCAGAUUACCAAACCUAAUCAAACUCCGAAUACCGUUAACUAUAAUUGCAGGAGUCAGACUACGGGAGCUAAGUUUCGUGGUCGAGAGGGAAACAACCCAGACCGUCAGCUAAGGUCCCCAAAUAUGUGCUAAGUGGGAAAGGAAGUGGAAAUGCUCAGACAGCCAGGAGGUUGGCUUAGAAGCAGUCAUCCUUUAAAGAAAGCGUAACAGCUCACUGGUCGAGUGGGUUUGCACCGAAAAUGUAACGGGGCUAAAGCACAUUACCGAAGCUGCGGGUAUCAAAAAAUAUUUAUUUUUUGGUACGGUAGAGGAGCAUUCUGUUAAGGCUGAAGGUUAUUCGUAAGGAUAGCUGGACAUAACAGAAGAGACCAUGCUGACAUGAGUAACGAUAAAGCGGGUAAGAAACCCGCUCGCCGUAAACCUAAGGUUUCCUUGAGUAAAGCUAAUCUGCUCAGGGUUAGUCGAUCCCUAAGCCGAGGCCGAAAGGCGUAGGCGAUGGAAAACAGGUUAAUAUUCCUGUACCACCAUCUUAUCAUUAUAAAGCGAUGGGGUGACACAGGAGGGUAGGUCAUCCGUCUGUUGGAAUAGACGGUUUAAGCCCGUAGGCGGAAAGAACAGGUAAAACUGUUCUUUUUUUAACGCUGAGAGGUGAUGAGGAGUCUUUUUUAAUAAAAGACAUAACUGACUAAUCCCAUGCUGUCGAGAAAAGCCUCUAGUGAGAUAAGAAGGUGAUCGUACCGCAAACCAACACAGGUAGGUAAGGAGAGAAUCCUAAGGCGCUUGAGAGAACCCUGGUUAAGGAACUCGGCAAAAUGAUACCGUAACUUCGGGAGAAGGUAUGCCCACAUUAGGUGAAACAAAUUUUUUUAAAAAUUAUCUUGUGGAGCUGAAGUGGGUCGCAGAGAAAUGGCGGUAGCGACUGUUUACUAAAAACACAGGACUCUGCUAAGUUGUAAGACAAUGUAUAGGGUCUGACGCCUGCCCGGUGCCGGAAGGUUAAGGGGAUGUGUUAGUGGUACUUUUGUACUACGAAGCAUUGAACUGAAGCCCUGGUAAACGGCGGCCGUAACUAUAACGGUCCUAAGGUAGCGAAAUUCCUUGUCGGGUAAGUUCCGACCUGCACGAAUGGCGUAACGACUUCCGCACUGUCUCAACCAGGGACUCAGUGAAAUUGUAUUGGCGGUGAAGAUGCCGUCUACCCGCGAAAAGACGGAAAGACCCCGGCACCUUUACUACAGCUUGACAUUGGAUUUUGGAAUACUAUGUGUAGGAUAGGUGGGAGGCUAUGAAACCGAAACGUUAGUUUCGGUGGAGCCAGCCUUGAAAUACCACCCUUACUAUUUUAGGGUUCUAAUUUUGUUCCGUAAUCCGGGCAAAAGACAGUGUUUGGUGGGUAGUUUGACUGGGGCGGUCGCCUCCCAAAGAGUAACGGAGGCGCGCGAAGGUUCCCUCAGGCUGAUUGGAAACCAGCCGUGGAGUGUAAAGGCAUAAGGGAGCUUGACUGCGAGAGAGACAUUUCGAGCAGGUACGAAAGUAGGUCUUAGUGAUCCGGCGGUCCUGAAUGGAAGGGCCGUCGCUCAACGGAUAAAAGGUACGCCGGGGAUAACAGGCUUAUCGCCCCCAAGAGUUCAUAUCGACGGGGCGGUUUGGCACCUCGAUGUCGGCUCAUCACAUCCUGGGGCUGAAGCAGGUCCCAAGGGUUUGGCUGUUCGCCAAUUAAAGUGGUACGUGAGCUGGGUUUAAAACGUCGUGAGACAGUUUGGUCCCUAUCUUUCGUGGGCGUAGGAUAUUUGAGAGGCUCUGUUACUAGUACGAGAGGACCGUAAUGGACGAACCUCUGGUGUUCCAGUUGUCGCGCCAGCGGCAUAGCUGGGUAGCUAUGUUCGGAAAGGAUAACCGCUGAAAGCAUAUAAGCGGGAAGCCUCCCUCAAGAUAAGAUAUCCCCUCAUACAAUUAAUUUUAUUGAGUGUAUGACUGAAGACUACUUGAAGACUACAAGAUUGAUAGGCUGGGUGUGUAAGUACAGUAAUGUAUUCAGCUAACCAGUACUAAUAGUCGUGAGGCUUGAUCAA
rnacentral:rRNA from 1 species